ensembl:ncRNA T04C12.30 ncRNA
GUACGAGUCCUUCUGUCCCAUACCGACCAUGACUCCUUGAUGACGUGGUCUUCCGACAAUGGAUGGGAACACGGCGCGUGGAGCGUCGUCUCCGGCGAAUCCGGCCUUGCACAUUCCGGAUCCAUUGUCUACAACAAGAGCGGCAACCUC